ACUCAAAUGAAUUGACGGGGACCCGCACAAGCAGAGGAUGAUGUGGUUUAAUACGACGCUACGCGUAGAACCUUACCAAGGUUUGACAUCCUAGGAAUCCGCUAGAAAUAGCAGAGUGCCUUCGGGAACCUAGUGACAGAUGUUGCAUGGCCGUCGUCAGCUCGUGUCGUGAGAUGUUGGGUUAAGUCCCGCAACGAGCGCAACCCUUAUCGUAUGUUGUAUUUUUCAUACGAGACUGCCCGGGCCAACCGGGAGGAAGGCGAGGAUGACGUCAGGUCCGCAUGACUCUUACACCUUGGGCUACACACGUCAUACAAUGGCCGACACAACGCGUUGCCAAAUCGUGAGAUGGAGCUAAUCGCACCAAAGUCGGUCCCAGUUCGGAUUGCAGGCUGCAACUCGCCUGCAUGAAGUCGGAUUUGCUAGUAAACGUGGGUCAGCAUACCACGUUGAAUACGUUCCCGGGUCUUGCACACACCGCCCGU
rnacentral:rRNA from 1 species